GGAGCAGAAAAGGGGCUGACAGCUGGAGCCUCUGAGGCAGUCCAUAGAUCUCCUGAAUGCAUGGAAGAGGCUGAAUUGCUCACAAAGGGAGAUUUGCUGGGUUGUAGGCCACGUGGGUGAGGACGAGUGACCCAGCACUAGGAAUCUGGCUGGGACAGUCUGGCCCCACUAUCACACUGCUCCGAAUGGCAACACAAGGUCCCAGUGAUGUGACAUGCUGGUGUUAGAUCAUCUUCCGGAGGUUUGGGCCAGCUGAAAGGGCUGCACUUCUGCAGUAAAUUGUCAGUGCUCUCGGCAGGGCUGCUCUGGAGUGGACAGAACUUUGGAGAGCGAAAUUGCAAGGAAGAAUUCCCUGGGAAAAUGGUCAGAGGGAAGGAGCAGUGGAAAUGAAAUUCAAGCUUGCCCACCGGAAAAUACUGUGAAACUAGGAAAAAGAGGCUUGAAACGAACAGCUAAGAGGAACAGCUGGUUGGCAAAGUGGAUACAACACCAAUCCUGAAGUCUGGAGGACCUGAGUUCAAAUCAGAAAGUUAACACUUCCUAGCUGUGUGACCCUGGGCAAGUCACUUAACCCCAAUUGCCUCAGAAUGGAAUUCAUAGUUGAAUUAAAUAGAUAUGUUCAAACAUGAAAACAAAAUUC